rnacentral:rRNA from 1 species
GUCCACGGCCAUGCCGCCCUGAACAAGCCUGAUGUCUGAUCUCGGAAGCUAAGCAGGGUCGGGCCUGGUCAGUACUUGGAUGAGAGACCACCUAGGAAGACCAGGUGCUGUAGGCG